rnacentral:lncRNA from 1 species
UUCGUCACGCUAAUACACCCAUAAAAUAAUAUAAUUCAGUGAGUUAGUGGUUACACUACUCACGCUAUGUGUUAGGUAAAUCGCCUUUUUCCCAUUGCCAGUAACACGUUUAGAGCAGAUCCCUACACCUCUAUUGAGGUUAUUUAGCCAUAAGCCUUCAUGAGCCUUUCUUUCUGCAGUCUUCGUUCCGAACUGUUCUCAGAUCUUUCCAUGCCGGAGAGUGAAAUCUUUCCCAGUAUAAAGGUAACUUAGUAGGAACGACUCGCAUCUUAUGGCUUUUUCCGAUACUCACACUCCUACCUUGUACACCAGGACUACAUCAUAGGGAUGUAGGUCGACACUCAGACAGCCAAUAUCUGAGGCACGGAAAAAAAAAUUUAGACCUAACAUAGUAAGGAUUGGUACGUCCAGGGUUAACCUUCGUCUCUUAUCAGCUUGUGUUCCUUUCCAUGUAGGAAAAACCAUGCCUCCGAAGAAGCGUAACCCAUCUGCUGGCAAGAAACCGACUCUCCUAUUUGAUGAANUUCCUUUCCGUGUAGGAAAAACCAUGCCUCCGAAGAAGCGUAACCCAUCCACUGGCAAGAAACCGAAUCUCCUACUCGAUGAAGCUACAUUCCAAGCUGUAGUUUCGGCAGCCAUAACAGCUGUCAUGGCUCAACUGAGUGCUAACAAUGCCAACGUUAGCAUGAGCCCUAUCGGAAAUUCCGAUCCUAGUAGUGGACAGCAACAACCAACCUGUGCAUACCCAGUCACCCAAG